GGCGGUUCUAGGGUGAUGCACCCCAGAAUCAGGCUCCCUCCUCUCUGGUUCUGGAUGCGUCACCGGAGAACCACA
rfam:Myotis brandtii contig279055, whole genome shotgun sequence.